CGUGUACUCCCUCCGUUCCAAAAUACUUGACUUCCAUUUGUCCAAAAAUGGAUGUACCUAUAUACUAAAACAUGUCUAGAUACAUAUAUAUUUUGACAAAUAGAAGGCAUGUAGUAUUGUGCAACGGAGGGAGUAGAAU
rfam:Triticum aestivum genome assembly, contig: Triticum_aestivum_CS42_TGACv1_scaffold_214062_3AS